rnacentral:rRNA from 1 species
UACGGAGGGUGCAAGCGUUAUCCGGAUUCACUGGGUUUAAAGGGUGCGUAGGCGGGUAGGUAAGUCAGUGGUGAAAUCUUCGAGCUUAACUCGGAAACUGCCUUUGAUACUAUCUAUCUUGAAUAUUGUGGAGGUAAGCGGAAUAUGUCAUGUAGCGGUGAAAAUGCUUAGAUAUGACAUAGAACACCUAUUGCGAAGGCAGCUUACUACGCAUAUAUUGACGCUGAGGCACGAAAGCGUGGGGAUCAAACAGG